UUCGAGCUGCACCGGAAGCCUUGAUUCUACGUGUUCCUGUCGCUCGCUUUGAAAGUGCUGCUGUGGAAAGGGAACGGCUAAAUGGUGGCGUUGAAAUUGGGAAUAAAACGUUUUUUAUUAAAAGGUACAAAUGUCGGAACCGAUUUGAUCUGGAUCACACGGCUCACAGGUCCGUGGGGACGUGACGUAACUCAGCGCUGGCUGUUGGGACCCGCCGUCGCUCUCUCUGACUUCUCUGCCAUCUUUACGCUUGUUGUUCAGUUUGACCUUGACCUUUACAUUUCAAUCCGUGGGUGUUGUUCUGGGACUCCGGUCCUGGAUUUUGAGUCUCUGCUGAAAGCCCUAGUUCCCGCGCGAGGAAACAUCAUUCUAGCAUCCUACGUUAUUUGUUAGUAUUACUAUUUAUACUCAUAAUAAUUUGAUACAACAGCCAGAUCCCAAAUGUGUUUUUCACUGCCGCUGCAUCGAGGAUCAAACGGGGAGCUCAGAAACCUCACGAGAACCAUGGAGCAGCCGCUCAGGAGAGGAUGUAGUGAGAACGCCAACAAGCCAAAAGCUCAACCAGGCAAUCAGGCUGGAGUCAGGUUGCCAACAAUGACUCAUAGUACGGGAUCAGACUCAACAGUUCUCCUUCCCCUCCCUCGCCAACAUCCUCGACCCCCUUUACGGUCUAACCGAGCAAUAAAUCCCCCCCCACCCUUCCCCUGCAGAAACCAGAACUGAUCUAUUCGAGCACAGAUGUUGUCAUUUGUGUCAUCAGAAAGGAUCUUUGUCGGUGUGCACGUGUCACAUCUUGUGAGGAUCAUAUGUUACAGUUUUUAAAGCAUCACGUCCUCCCGGCCGACCGUCUGUAGGGACGGUUCAUGCAGCUGUGAUGCAAACGCACCCCCGGUGCAGCUAAAAUGACCUUUUUUAGGAAAAGAAAUAGCGGCUUUUUAUUGCACGGGUACGUCGAUAGGUGAGGAUGAGCCGCCGCAGUUUCAAUCACUGCUCGUCCAGCUUGUGAACCGCGGUCAAACUAGGCGGCGCAGAUCAAACAUGAAUAAAAAUUCUAUCACGGCCUUGACUAUUUUUCAGAAACAUGUUUUAGCGUGCUGAUUAGCUGUGAAAUGGCUGUGACCUGCCUGCCAUGUUAAAAACGGGGGGCGAAAUCCAAGCACAACUCACCGAUUGGAGUAACUUUAUAAUGUUACACCUUUUCAGCGCUCUAAACUGUGUUUUCACUGAGAGUUCACGCUCCACAAGCAGCGAGUGAUCACUUGGUUGUUUUCCUUCGGGCAUGCUGGAAUAUUGUGAAUGUUAAAUGUUUUUUGUUUUUAUUUCAUGUCUGUCGAGAUGAAGUGGCAGUUUUGAGUGUGAAAGUUAUUUUUUUUUAAAGGAAACAAUGAACUGUAGGGAUAUUUAUUUAUAGACAAAUUAGUUUUGAGCUCAUCUAGUAAAAUAAUCAUGAUACAUUUGGGACUGUAACACUACAAAAUACAAAAUACAUACUCACUCAAAAAUGCUGUUAAAAUGUUUAAAGUCUUCUCAUGAAAACAAUAAAUUCUACAAAUCCAUCUAUUAUCAGUGUAUGAAUGCAAAACUGUGUGUGUCUUUGUUAUGUCAAAAAUAAUAAUACCAUAAUGAGAAGUUAUAGCUAAAGAGGUGGAUCUCAGGACCAGAUAUUCCAACAAAUACACAAACCCAUAAUGAAUGGGUCAACAUAAUAAUGACCAGAACACAUGGAAGGACCAUGCUGAUUGGUCACUUGGUUUACAGGUCGUUGCUUUGUAACCAUCAAACCCAGCUUCGUCACGAAUGAUCGGUUUAAAAUACAAAAAAAAAUUCAGAUUGCUCCAUUGCAAUUAACAACAAGUGUACAUCCCGAAACGCCUCCUCGCUUUUGUAAGAAUAAUAUUAAACAUCCGCCAUUGACCCAACCGGAAGACGAGGCGCGCACACGCUGCUGUGACAUUGUGUCCAUAAUCCUAAAGGCGUUUCUUUAAUUGCCUACGGUCCCUCCCAGUUGGACCAUUUGCAGCAUCCGGGCUCCCACUGACAACGAGGGAGAAAGGGGAAGAGAAAGGGCCCGGUCUGAGUGGGCUCACUUUACAGUGGGGGAGGCAGAUGCUUGUUUACUGGCCUCAUUAUGUCAGCAGCUGUCCUGAGCAGGUCACGCCACGGUCCUCUGUCCACCUACUGAGACCCAUAAGUCCGGCACCUGACAUUGGACACGCUGUAAAGGGUUUCAAAUAAGAGAGAAGCCUGAGAGGCUCUUCAUUCAAGCUGCUGUCAUUUGGCCUCUGUGUUUUCCAGCGUCGUUGUAGCACGAACGAAACAUCCGCCCGGUGGUCACUCGUUUAAAGGUGUGAUGAGUAUUUUUACAAAACAGGAGCUCAAACAAUCAAAUACAGCUGCUGGUACAAGAAAGCUGAGCUUUUUGCUUUAUAUUUUGAUCAACCAUCUUGUAAUCGAUUUCCACAAUGCUUGUACUUAAGAUAUCUACAGAAAUUGGUUUAACUGAGAGCAUUUGUUUUUUUACACUGUUGUGGAUCAAUCGGGUGAUUUGAGUUAUCAUGUUUCAGUCUUUUCGUUUGCACUUUUAAACCAGAUCGUUUUCUGCGCCGGUAAGACUCUCUAACAGCUGAGAGAUCGCUCUUCUUGCCACAAUUUAUUUAACUGAAAUAAAACCACAGGCGACACAAUCGCAACACCCCAAUAACGAUUUUAAUGCGCCUGCUGCAUAUUCACAGUCAUGCUCCUGCCCCGAAAUGCGCGCACGAAUGUGUUGUUCCUCCUCUCUGCAGUCUCCACAUCUAUAAUCCCCUUUUAUUGAAAUCCGUGUCACCUGCCGCCUGCGCAGUCCAGCACCCCGAGGCGUUAGACGGCUGGCACGGUGACGGCCGCUGCGGUGAGGGGAGGGACGGGGGAAGGGACAUAAUGUCUUUCAUUUAGUUUUGAUAGUGGGCUUUUAAACAUGCAGACACGCUCGUGGAUUAUUCGCUGUGUAAAUCUAACAGGAAAGGCAGCCGGCAGCUCAUCAGCGGGGUGUGCCACGAGCCACAUAUUGGAGCCAGGCAAAGCGGCUGAAUCUUCACCGACGGUGAUGUUUGUGACAUCUAGCCUGUCGUUAUGGCAGCGCAUCACCGGGACUGCCCACGCAGCCUAGGUCAGGAAGACGGGAGUCGUGGUGGGCAUCUCGGCUGGACGGUCGAGCGUCCCGGCGAUUUCUCCUUCCCUCUUCUUAAAGAAACACCCAGCAACACCAGACUGCUCGUUGUGUGGGGGGUUGAGAUGGAGAGGGUGAGGUAGGCCCCUGCCACGAGGGAGGUGGGGAGAAGACGGAGUGAGGUGGAGAAAGGAAAGCCCGAGGGAGAGAGGAAGGAGGGAGGAUUGAGCACGAGGCAAUUUUGCAAACCUGUGACACAUUAAAUAUUAACAAACCCGGGCUAAAUGCGUAAACUCUCCCUCCUCAUUCUCUUCCUCUCUUUUCUUCUCACUCACCUCCUGCCGCAAAGCGACGGUCACAUGCACUCUUGAUGCGCACACACACACACAGGGAGGUGGUGUGUGAUGGUCGUAACGUGAAGUGGAGCAUGUCAAAGAGCUGGGGAAGGUGUCGGGGAAAAGGCCCACAAAAGAGCAGGAGACCGGAUGACGUGAGGCAGAGAGCGGAGGAGGUACACGCGGCUAUGAAAGAUUUAAAAUAAAAGAGGAACGGAAGAGGAGGGAGAUAGUAGAACUGCUAAAGUGAGAGUAAGAGAAAAGGUAUCGACAACGGGGCAGUGGGAGAGAUUGCGGGGAAGGGGGGUGAAGUGAGUGCCUGUGUCCUUACAGAAUGGGUGGCUUCAGAGCUAAUGGGGGCUCCUCGCUCUGCUCAUGGAAGACGUAUAGACAGCAGGAAGGUUAUGGGAUCACUUUGAUGAAUUAGUAGGGUGCAGCGUGUUGAAAUGCAAAAGAACGAUUAAGUGUGUUCUUGUAGCUAAAUUCGCCCUUUGUUUGGAGACCAGCGGAUCUUUUGCGCAGCUCGGUUAGCUGCUAAUCAUUAAUGCAUUAAUGGGGCGGUCAGUCCAUUUGGCAUUCAGUAUUCUCUAAUCAAUUGAAUAGAACGUUGCAACGGCAUUACAUGAACGUGCUUCAGUGAGUGUGUGCGUGCGUGUGUGUGUGUGCGUGCAUGUGUGUGUGUGUGUGUGUGUUGAGGCAGGCGAUGCUUGAGCGGUCACUCUGCCCCUUAGGCUAUGGUGUGUGUUUGGAAGGGAAUGGAUCCUCCCCCAGGAGUGCAGGGAGGAGAUGUGUGUGAGUGUCCCUACAAUACUUUUGCUGCAGUCUGUCCUUUCACACAACGCUCGGGUAUCUGUGAGCCUACACAAUACGCGCACACUCACACACACACACAGACACGCGCGCUGCAUUCGAAACAAGGGCCAAGAUACGGACCGUUGUGGUGGAUCAGUCAUCAUCUUAAAUGAUUAUCUUUACAUGAGUGAAUGACUGUACAAUUGACCCCUCGUGUAUUGUCACAUGAUCCAAUUAUAUCCGUUACUCAAAGGUCUAUUUCGCAUUGCACUCCUAUAAAAUUGUUGAACUCGCGACGUGCAGUUAAAGUGCGUCAAUGGCGCCUCGCACAGACACAUUUGUAUUCCAUGCAUUCUUCUUGCUUGUCAGAACCUGGCGCUUACAUUACCCACAAUGCAACUGAACAGGUGAGUAUUUGGUCCAAGAUAAAGGUAUAGAUAAAUAGCAACUGUAGCCUCGAGCAUACAAGCGCAAAGAGUGGAUACAGCGUCGGAGGGGAGAGUUCAGCAGAGGCCGAUGAAGCCAAAAAUGUUUAACCUUCUCGUAAAUUUGAAAAUUAGUUUCCGGAGCCCUAAGCUAUGGAGCCAGUUAGCCCCUCUUUUGUAUUAACUUGCAACACUUUUGUUUCAGUCUGCAAUACUAUGUCUAUUAACGCACCACAGCAGUUUAUUAGUUAGACGUAACAAGCCGUAAUAUGUUUCAACUUGGACAAAAGUUGUAGUAAAAAAUGUUAUUUUCUUGUACACAACAAGUUACGUCCUAAGCAGACAAACUGAAUUAAUUGUCAAAUUAAUUAUAACGCCUUAUUAGACUAGAAAUUAUUAGAACACAGCCUACUAAACCGCCACAAUCACUCCAAAUGAUACUCUAAUUAGAAAGCAAAUGGACUUUUCUGAUAGACUAUUAGACACCAGCCACAACGAGGAACUUUUAGUUUGUGUUUAUUUUGGCCGUGCACAAAAGCAGCAGUGUAUCCGAGUAUCAGUCAUUUUAGAAAACCAAUUAGCUUUUUUCAAGAACUGAGAAUUAAUGUGAUGAACUCUCCCUCACUGCCGACAUUCCAUCGACCACCUUGCGUCCGUGCCCGCUCGCUGCGCUCCGCGUCUCUGCAUCGGGGGGCUAAAUGUAAAUCCGUAUUGACGUUGUCAACUAUUUCCACAGCCUCUCUACGUCGUAGCAAAUAUUCUUCCCCGGUGAACUUUCCUCAUCAACCACUUAAAUGGCAACCGGAUAAAAAUGGAGACAUGUGAGAAAAAUGAAAUGCUGAGUCCAGUCAGUGACUUCAACCCCUCCCUGAGCUGAAGUCAAUAAAAGGCUUCCUGAACUUCACGAAAAAACAAAUCGGUAGGGAAGUAUUUUUCCAGAAUUGAUUAAUAAUUGUUUUUGUUUGUAUUUUUCUUUUGUUCAGGGACUAAUGGCUAUGUUUCAUUCUGGCAAAAGACAAAAACAACGUCUUAUGAAAUAUCCAAUAUGCUAAUGAAACAGCAAAAUGGCCAUAUAUCAAAUUAUGCACCUUCAUAUAACAAUGGGCAACUUUACAUUAGAAUUGGCGGCACUAAUGUGGCAUCACAAAGGCUACCUGAUGCUUGCAGCAGGGUGUAUGACAUUUCUGUGAUUUCAAGAGGGACAAACCUCUUUGUUUCCAAUUUCUUUUGCCAUAAAAAAAACACCCUGCGAUGCUGGAUUACUUCCUGGACUUCUGGUGUGCAAGUCACAUUUUGAAACUUGGCCUCAUCGCUUCCCGUUACCCGCCAUCAUUUGCGACAUGUUCUCCUCCUCCACAGUCCCGUGGUGUGAGCAGGUCCGGGAUAACUUUAAGGUGGGAAUUUCGUGACGGACAUCAGACAUAAAAGUCUCUCUGCUUCUGCCUUUGAAAGCUUGGUCGUGUGAAAGGAAUGUGAAGAAGAGCGGUCGGCCGACGGCUGUUCCAGUCCAGCUGUAGCGGGAGCGAUGACGCCAUGUCAGACUUUACGCCUGAGAAAGCGUCUCACUCUGUGGCCAGUUGCUCAGGCACUUCACUUCUUUUCCCGUGUGUGGCAGCUCUAGCUAAAUGGACCCAGAGAUGAAGCUUCCUCGAGUUGACACUGGUCAUCGAGAACGUUACUGCGAGGAAUUUCUGCGUCGUUUUAGAGCAGCAACGGUGUCCGACGCGCCAAAUAAAAUGACCAGGAACUUGUGGUUCUGCUCUCACACACAUAACGGCUCACUGCGACCUUGUGUGGCCCCUCAACUGGGGGGGGUUAUUUUCUUCCUCCCUCCCUCCCUCCUUCACUCUCCCUCCCCUUGUUCCGUCUCUCCUCGCUCUCAUUCUACUCCCCCUUUCACUCAUUCCCUCAAUCAGCGAGCGUCCGUCCUCUUCCUCUGUUCCCGUGCUUCCUUCCUCCCCUCGUCCCCGCUUGCUCGUUCAAUAUUUCCAUUUGACGCCUUUUGACGAAACCCGGACCACCUGUGCGUGGCGGUUUAACGCGUUGGCGUUCAAAACUGAGAAAGUAAACACACGGACGGCCCACUCGGACGAGUUCAAUCUAUCGAGCAAACGCAGAGGUCAAGUUGGUUAAAAAGUCUCGUUGAUUGUUGAAGACGAGGGAGGAGCGCGCGGCAGAUUUGAUUCUAAAGCGAGGCACAUCUUGGGAGGCUGGAAAAUAAUUUGGUCACGGCUGUGGGAGGCGUGUGGAGGGAGAGGGUGCGGGGUGGGGGGGGUUUGACCGUCUCGCUGUGGUGAACGAAAUGCUUGACACUUCAUUCCUCCCCAGUUAAUGUGGAGCGUACUGCAGGAUGUUAACCCCUUAGCCGGCCUUUUGAUGCUUGGUCUCCACCUCCUCCCCCGACGCUUCCUGCUGAGGGGCUGAAACUUUGCCGUUGGCCGUCCGCGGAGGGCCACGGUCCCGCCAGUCGCGCGGGUGCGGUUACAGUAUCCAUCGUUUCCUGGUAUUCCGUCGACAUUAGCUGAGUGUAAUGCUGCGAGACAAUAUGACAGGCCCGCUGUGUAAUUUUCAGAAGCUGUCAUGACGAUUUGAAAAUUUGACCAUCAUAUGCCAGAUACUCUUUGUCUGGGGUAAUUCUGAAGCGUAAGCUGCGUUUCCCGCACCAUCUGCCUCGUAUGAAUUACACAAAAGACGCGACCGGCACCGGCAAACGACCACGACGUUGCCUGGGAGACAGAGGUCACAAGAGAGGGUGAGUCACAGAAAACCCAGAACUACCGAGUGACCCACAGUAUCGAACGACCCCGCCGCCGCCGUGCUCUUUACAGCGUGGCGGCGUGCAGGCCGGUUGGUGUCGUGUCAGUGCGUAAACAACAGGGAAGACGGUGCCCUUGGCAAAAGGCAAGUAAACAGUUAAACUUAAUGGGGCCAGAAUGUGACACCUCAAUAAGAAUCCACUUCAGUCGCAGUCACUGUCUUUUACUAGCUACACACACACACACACACACACACACACACACCUGGCCUUGUGUGUACAUCAACUUGUGUCUGACCAUGGGUCUCCUGCUGCCUUGUGUGUGUGUGUGUGUGUGUGUGUGUUCCUGCAGACCUGGGGAGUAGGGAGUUAAUGCAGGCAGGGCUGUGGCAGUCCUCCUGCCCCUCAGCCAGAUUAAUCAUGCAGGAGAGACACAGCAGGCCCCCGUUCAUUCUGCCUGGGGGUGAAGCUGUGCCCGCAUGCUCUCCGUAUCACAU
ensembl:lncRNA